AUACUCGCGUAAUCGCUGCAUAUAUGCGUCAUAACGAUGCAUAUAUGUAGAGGAAAGUCCAUGCUCACACAAGCUGUGAUGCUUGUAGUGUUCGUGCCUGACGAAACCAUAAGUCAGGGUAACCUGAUUCCGAUCAGGUUAACGGCAGGGUAAGUUCCUAAGUCGCUUGAACGCGAUAUGGAACGAGGCCCUUUAAAGUGCCACAGAGACGAGCUUGCAUGGAAACGUGCAAGGUGGAACGCGGUAAACCCCACGAGUGAGCAACCCAAAUUAUGGUAGGGGCACUCCUCCGAGUAGGAAACCGAACGAAAGGAGGGGACGAGCUGGGCGCAUCCCGGCUCGUAGAUAAAUGAUUACGGCCGGAGUACGAGGCUGACCACCGUUUGCAGUACGAAGGUACAGAACAUGGCUUACAGAG
rnacentral:RNase_P_RNA from 1 species